CUGCGAUUUCUGCGACUUCUGCGAUUUCUGCUACUUCUGCGACUUAUCUCCGAAUGAAAAAGUUACAUGUGUUCACACAGAGAAUUGCAUCUCAAGAAAACUGACAUUAGUACCCGAACUACAUUUCAGUCACUCAGUAAAGCGAUAAUUCGAAAUAUUAUCGUCAACAGCCACUGCGUCUUUAGACUGUCUUCGUCAGACGAGAGACGCAGUUCCAACCCCGAUUACUGGUUUCUGUACGUAUCUAUCCACUUCAAGGCUCUUGGGAGAGAAUCGUGAAUAUUCAAGUCAGCUCUUAGAGGAUUUGCAGUUUAAAAGUGCCAUAAUUAUGAAAUAAGUGUGCAU